GAUGAACGCUAGCGGCAGGCUUAAUACAUGCAAGUCGUGGGGCAGCACAAAUAGCAAUAUUGGGUGGCGACCGGCAAACGGGUGCGGAACACGUACACAACCUUCCUUUAAGUGGGGAAUAGCCCAGAGAAAUUUGGAUUAAUACCCCGUAAUAUUAUGAAAUGGCAUCAUUUUAUAAUUAUAGCUUCGGCGCUUAAUGAUGGGUGUGCGGCUGAUUAGAUAGUUGGUGAGGUAACGGCUCACCAAGUCUACGAUCAGUAGCUGAUGUGAGAGCAUGAUCAGCCACACGGGCACUGAGACACGGGCCCGACUCCUACGGGAGGCAGCAGUAAGGAAUAUUGGGCAAUGGACGCAAGUCUGACCCAGCCAUGCCGCGUGAAGGAUGAAGGUCCUCUGGAUUGUAAACUUCUUUUAUUUGGGAAGAAAUCCACGAUUUCUAUUGUGGUUGACGGUACCAGAUGAAUAAGCACCGGCUAACUCCGUG
rnacentral:rRNA from 1 species